GCCUUUAUGGUGCAACGGUAGCACACUUAACACGUAUUCUAGAGGUCCAGGUUCGAAUCCAGGCGAAGGCA
rnacentral:tRNA from 1 species